rnacentral:rRNA from 1 species
UACGGAGGGUGCGAGCGUUGUCCGGAAUCAUUGGGCGUAAAGGGUGCGUAGGUGGCGUCGUAAGUCGGGUGUGAAAUUUCGGAGCUCAACUCCGAAACUGCAUUCGAUACUGCGGUGCUUGAGGACUGGAGAGGAGACUGGAAUUUACGGUGUAGCAGUGAAAUGCGUAGAGAUCGUAAGGAAGACCAGUGGCGAAGGCGGGUCUCUGGACAGUUCCUGACACUGAGGCACGAAGGCCAGGGGAGCAAACGGG